rnacentral:rRNA from 1 species
UACGGAGGGUGCGAGCGUUGUCCGGAAUCACUGGGCGUAAAGGGCGCGUAGGCGGUCUGCUAAGCGUGCGGUGAAAGCCUGGGGCCUCAACCCCAGGUCUGCCGUGCGAACUGGUGGACUAGAGCACUGUAGAGGCAGGUGGAAUUCCGGGUGUAGCGGUGGAAUGCGUAGAGAUCCGGAAGAACACCGGUGGCGAAGGCGGCCUGCUGGGCAGUUGCUGACGCUGAGGCGCGACAGCGUGGGGAGCAAACAGG